AGGGGCAGCAUUUUAGUUUGCUUGCAAACUGAAGAUGGCGACCGGCGCACGGGUGAGUAACACGUAUCCAACCUGCCGAUAACUCUGGAAUAGCCUUUCGAAAGAAAGAUUAAUACCGGAUGGCAUACGAAUAUCGCAUGAUAUUUUUAUUAAAGAAUUUCGGUUAUCGAUGGGGAUGCGUUCCAUUAGUUUGUUGGCGGGGUAACGGCCCGCCAAGACAACGAUGGAUAGGGGUUCUGAGAGGAAGGUCCCCCACAUUGGAACUGAGACACGGUCCAAACUCCUACGGGAGGCAGCAGUGAGGAAUAUUGGUCAAUGGGCGAGAGCCUGAACCAGCCAAGUAGCGUGAAGGAUGAAGGCUCUAUGGGUCGUAAACUUCUUUUAUAUGGGAAUAAAGUUUUCCACGUGUGGAAUUUUGUAUGUACCAUAUGAAUAAGGAUCGGCUAACUCCGUGCCAGCAGCCGCGGUAAUACGGAGGAUCCGAGCGUUAUCCGGAUUUAUUGGGUUUAAAGGGAGCGUAGGUGGAUUGUUAAGUCAGUUGUGAAAGUUUGCGGUUCAACCGUAAAAUUGCAGUUGAAACUGGCAGUCUUGAGUACAGUAGAGGUGGGCGGAAUUCGUGGUGUAGCGGUGAAAUGCUUAGAUAUCACGAAGAACUCCGAUUGCGAAGGCAGCUCACUAGACUGUUACUGACACUGAUGCU
rnacentral:rRNA from 1 species